CCUACGGGUGGCAGCAGUGAGGAAUAUUGGUCAAUGGACGAGAGUCUGAACCAGCCAAGUAGCGUGAAGGAUGACUGCCCUAUGGGUUGUAAACUUCUUUUAUAUGGGAAUAAAAUGUUCCACGUGUGGGAUUUUGUAUGUACCAUAUGAAUAAGGAUCGGCUAACUCCGUGCCAGCAGCCGCGGUAAUACGGAGGAUCCGAGCGUUAUCCGGAUUUAUUGGGUUUAAAGGGAGCGUAGGCGGUUUGUUAAGUCAGUUGUGAAAGUUUGCGGCUCAACCGUAAAAUUGCAGUUGAAACUGGCAGUCUUGAGUACAGUAGAGGUGGGCGGAAUGUGUGGUGUAGCGGUGAAAUGCUUAGAGAUCACGAAGAACUCCGAUUGCGAAGGCAGUUCACUGGACUGCAACUGACACUGAGGCUCGAAAGUGUGGGUAUCAAACAGGAUUAGAUACCCGAGUAGUC
rnacentral:rRNA from 1 species